rnacentral:rRNA from 1 species
GUGUCAGCAGCCGCGGUAAUACGUAGGUGGCAAGCGUUGUCCGGAAUCAUUGGGCGUAAAGAGCGCGUAGGUGGCUUGUCAGGUCUGAUGUGAAAUCCUGGGGCUCAACUCCAGAACUGCAUCGGAAACCGGCUUGCUAGAGUCUGGGAGAGGAGAGUGGAAUUCCUGGUGUAGCGGUGAAAUGCGUAGAUAUCAGGAGGAACACCGGUAGCGAAGGCGGCUCUCUGGAACAGUACUGACGCUGAGGCGCGAAAGCUAGGGGAGCGAACAGGAUUAGAAACCCUUGUAGUCC